rnacentral:lncRNA from 1 species
AUGUCCAGCCCUUCUAAUCUAUUUAUUCAAAGAGGAGAAGACUCAUCCCAGGGGGCUGUCAGAGCAGGGCAAGGAGACAUGGUACGUGAAUGGAGCAGGUGGAAGAAGAUAAAAGUUGUUCCAAUCAAGUCAUUGGAGACACCAGUUGGAUCAGAGCAGUGACUAUCUGAGAUACUGAUUCCAAAAAAGGAAGGGCACAGGUUUGGGUCUUUACAGACGAGCACAGCGGUUUAAAAAGAAAGUGUACGCUUCCUGAUGCAUUGGUCAACUCCACUUCCGUUCCUUGUGCAAACUCCUCAGCAUUUUCUGACAGCAACCAUCUUCUAUGGAUGGGUAUCUCCCUUUGGAUCUGGAAACAAUGAGAGGACCUGUGAA